rnacentral:rRNA from 1 species
UACGUAGGGUGCAAGCGUUAAUCGGAAUUACUGGGCGUAAAGCGUGCGCAGGCGGUGAUGUAAGACAGAUGUGAAAUCCCCGGGCUCAACCUGGGAACUGCAUUUGUGACUGCAUCGCUGGAGUGCGGCAGAGGGGGAUGGAAUUCCGCGUGUAGCAGUGAAAUGCGUAGAUAUCGAGAGGAACACCUGCGGCGAAGGCGACCCCCUGGUUGGAUACUGACGCUGAGACGCGAAAGCGUGGGGAGCAAACAGG